CAAUAGCGUAUAUUAAAGUUGUUGCAGUUAGAACGCUCGUAGUCGGAUUUCGGGGCGGGCCGACCGGUCUGCCGAUGGGUACGCACUGGUCGGCGCGUCCUUCCUUCCGGAGACCGUGCCUACUCUUAACUGAGCGGGGGCGGGAGACGGAUCGUUUACUUUGAAAAAAUCAGAGUGUUUCAAGCAGGCAGCUCGCUCUUGCAUGGAUUAGCAUGGGAUAAUGAAAUAGGACUUUGGUGCUAUUUUGUUGGUUUCGAACACCGAAGUAAUGAUUAAAAGGGACAGUCAGGGGCACUCGUAUUCCGCCGAGAGAGGUGAAAUUCUCAGACCAGCGGAAGACGAACCACUGCGAANGNAUUUGGNAGGGAUGUUUNCACUG
rnacentral:rRNA from 1 species